rnacentral:rRNA from 1 species
GACAGAGGAUGCAAGCGUUAUCCGGAAUGAUUGGGCGUAAAGCGUCUGUAGGUGGCUUUUUAAGUCCGCCGUCAAAUCCCAGGGCUCAACCCUGGACAGGCGGUGGAAACUACCAAGCUGGAGUACGGUAGGGGCAGAGGGAAUUUCCGGUGGAGCGGUGAAAUGCGUAGAGAUCGGAAAGAACACCAACGGCGAAAGCAGCUCGCUGGGACGUGACUGACGCUGAGACGCGAAAGCGUGGGGAGCAAACAGG